UUAUAUCACGCCGGUGUGAAUGACGUGGUGGCGUACAACACGUACAUCGCAACGAAACGGCUCGGCCCGCAAUUAGUUAGAACGCAUAAGUCGCUGAUGUCUUUUUCAUCGCGCGCACGUGUGUAAAAAUGUGCCGAAUAUCGUUCACUAAUUAAAUUUCCAUUAAACGCACGUGUAUUGCAUGUGAGGAUUUUUUUCCCGCGAUCAAGUUACUCGCGGAAUUGCGAAACUUAGUCUAACGUCGUGCUUAUAUUAUUGUGGUGCUUAUUAUACCAACGAACUAUUCUCAGAAUCUACAAUAUAUGAAAAAUGUUGAAGUAAGCAGACGUGACUCUCGAUAUUUGCCGAGAGAUUUGCGAAUAGUAUUUGUGAACGUAAAGUAUGGUAAUAAAAUACCGUUGAUGGUUCGGAUUAUCCAACGUUUCCCGUCCUCGCUCCGUUGACGGAAUAACGAUGACUCCGACUGAUGUUCGAGAUUUCAAUAAUACGGGGCAAAGUACUAGCCGCAAAUAUUACAAAUGUCAAUAAAAACGAAGAAAAUAAAGAUUACCCAGAUUAAUUCUGGAGGGGUUGUUUCAAGUAUAACUAGAAACUGUCAGCCUUGUUACUUUCAUAAUGACCGACUGCUUUUCUGAAAAAAGCGGAAGGGUCGCAUUCGCUGUGGGGGAUACUCUGAAAUAAUCACGGUCGCAUGGAUAUCGACUUCAUCUUUCUGUUUGAGCACGAAAGCGAUUAGUUCGCAACGAUACGACGGUGCACGUUGAGCGUGGCAUUCUAAGUUAAAGCGACGCUUUAAUUUUAGCGUAAGUCUACACCGCACAUCUUUAUGUUCCCCUCUUUCUUAUUUUAUUCACCUGCUUAGGCUACCUCGCUGUGCUGCACACAGAGCGAAGCUACAGCUCUGUAGAAUGACCGACCGAUAUCUUUGAAUUUUAGAAAGAAUUCAUCUCAAAACAUUAU